GAUGAAGAACGUAGCGAAACGCGAUACGUAAUGUGAAUUGCAGAAUUCAGUGAAUCAUCGAAUCUUUGAACGCACCUUGCGCCCCUCGGCAUUCCGAGGGGCAUGCCUGUUUGAGUGUCACGGAUCCUUCGAACCCCGCCGGUCUCCGACGAGCCGGCCGCCUGGGUUCGGUCCUGGGCGCUACGCCACCCCUCCGGGGCUGGCCCGCCUCAAACGCAUCAGCUGGGCCUCGCGGCGUGGGCGGGCUCCGAUCGGCGUGAUAAGUCAUCUGCCGAGAGGGUGCCCGUCCGUCCCGCGGAUCGCGGUCCGCUCCCAACCCCUCCCCGCGCGCCGUCCCCCCCCGGGGAGCGCGCGGGGACGUUUCGACGCUCUGGCCUCAAAUCAGGUAGGACCACCCGCUGAACUUAAGCAUAUCAAUAAGCGGAGGA
rnacentral:misc_RNA from 1 species